rnacentral:rRNA from 1 species
AUUGAACGCUGGCGGCAGGCCUAACACAUGCAAGUCGAGCGGAUGAAGGGAGCUUGCUCCUGGAUUCAGCGGCGGACGGGUGAGUAAUGCCUAGGAAUCUGCCUGGUAGUGGGGGAUAACGUCCGGAAACGGGCGCUAAUACCGCAUACGUCCUGAGGGAGAAAGUGGGGGAUCUUCGGACCUCACGCUAUCAGAUGAGCCUAGGCCGGAUUAGCUAGUUGGUGGGGUAAAGGCCUACCAAGGCGACGAUCCGUAACUGGUCUGAGAGGAUGAUCAGUCACACUGGAACUGAGACACGGUCCAGACUCCUACGGGAGGCAGCAGUGGGGAAUAUUGGACAAUGGGCGAAAGCCUGAUCCAGCCAUGCCGCGUGUGUGAAGAAGGUCUUCGGAUUGUAAAGCACGUUAAGUUGGGAGGAAGGGCAGUAAGUUAAUACCUUGCUGUUUUGACGUUACCAACAGAAUAAGCACCGGCUAACUUCGUG